rnacentral:rRNA from 1 species
GACGAACGCUGGCGGCGUGCCUAAUACAUGCAAGUCGAGCGGACGGAUGGGAGCUUGCUCCCAGACCGUCAGCGGCGGACGGGUGAGUAACACGUGGGCAACCUGCCUGUAAGACUGGGAUAACUCCGGGAAACCGGGGCUAAUACCGGAUAACUCUUUCCCUCACAUGAGGGAAAGCUGAAAGAUGGCAUCUCGCUAUCACUUACAGCUGGGCCCGCGGCGCAUUAGCUAGUUGGUGAGGUAACGGCUCACCAAGGCGACGAUGCGUAGCCGACCUGAGAGGGUGAUCGGCCACACUGGGACUGAGACACGGCCCAGACUCCUACGGGAGGCAGCAGUAGGGAAUCUUCCGCAAUGGACGAAAGUCUGACGGAGCAACGCCGCGUGAGUGAUGAAGGUUUUCGGAUCGUAAAACUCUGUUGUCAGGGAAGAACAAGUACCGGAGUAACUGCCGGUACCUUGACGGUACCUGACCAGAAAGCCACGGCUAACUACGUG